rnacentral:lncRNA from 1 species
AUGGGAAUACAAGUUGCUUAUUCCUAACAUGGUAUUAGAGCCUAGGUUCUUUUUGCACGCGCAACUCGUGCUCUUCCCGAUCUAAUCUUCCCCGCCUCGUCCCGUUCGUCUCAUCCCGCUCGCUUCGUCGUGGGUUCGCGAUCGCCACAGCCAGAUCGAGGCGUCUCCUGGUUCCGCUCAUGUGUACGACGUCCGCUCCUGGGACGCGGUUCCCAUCGCCAGCGCCAGCUCGAGGCCGCUCCCUCUCCUGGGACGCGGUUCACCAGAUCGAGGCGGCUCCUGGUUCCGCUCCUGUGUACAUCGUCUGCUCCUGGGACGCGGUUCCCAUCGCCAGCGCCAGCUCGAGGCCGCUCCCUCUCCUGGGACGCGGUUCCCAUCCCCAGCUCAAGGCCGCUCCCUCACGCGGCUCCUCUCAGAUCGCGCCGCCCCUGGCCCAGAUUGGUCUGAGGCUUUCCAGAUCAAGGCAGGGGCCCUCCAGAGCGAUUCCAGAUCGAGGUCUCGUUGCUCUCCCAGAUCGAGGCGGCUCCCCCAUCGCCAAAUCGGGUCCUGCUGUCUGACGCGGUUCGUUGACUAAAAAAAAAUGUCUGCUUCAUCCGGCUACGUUGUUGUUCCUCGUUGUCCGGUGAUCUUUGAUGGUACUAAUUACACCGAGUUUAUUGGCUUCAUGCGCAUUCACAUGCAUGGCAUCCGCCUAUGGGGUUUUCUUUCUGGCGAGGUCUGUUGUCCGCCAUGCCCGGUUCCUCCCGUGGCUCCCACUCUGCCGACCCCACCGGCUCUUCCUGCGAAUGCUUCUCAGGCCGCAAAGGAUACGGCUAAGCUUGUUGAUGAAGCCGCUAUCCGUACUUAUGAUGAGAAGGCUUUGGCUUAUGAGGAGGCUCUUGAGACGUAUCAUGGUGCUCUGUCUGCUUACACCCAGUGGCUUGAUGAUGAUGCUCGUGCUGCAGCUGUUCUCACUCUAUCGUUCUGCCUCAGUUUGCCUUUGAGUUUCUGGGCCUUCCUACCGUGUUUGAGAUGUGAACUCGCCUUCGUCAGCGCUAUGAGCCCUCGGGUGAUACCUUAUACCUCUCUAUGGUCCGUCAGGAGCAUGCUCUUCAGCAGGGUGACUCUAGUGUUGAUGACUUCUACGCACAGAGUUCUGCUAUCUGGCGCCAGCUUGAUUCUCUCCGUAGUGCUGGUUGUCGCACUUGCCCCUGUUGCCAGGUUGUGCAGGCCGAUUUGGAGUUUCAUCGCGUCUACGAGUUCCUGUCUCGGCUCCGUAAGGAGUUUGAGCCCCGACGUGCUCAGUUGUUUGCUCGUGGCCGUAUUUCUCUCAUGGAGGCGCUUUCUGAGAUUCGUGCUGAGGAGACUGCUUACGUGGUGCUGGUUUGCUGGAUGUUCCCUCGGUGCUCGCUGCUCGGUCUCCUUCUACGCUACCUGCUGCACCGACACCUUCUCGCUCGAGUGCUCCGCCGCUCUUGCGCACUCCUUCUGGAGGCUCGGGUCGCCCACGUUCACAUUGUGGCUACUGCAACAAUGAUGGUCAUAUUGAGUCCCACUCCUACACGAAGAAGAAACACUUGCGCAAGGCGCGAUCAUCAUCUACAGAGACUUCGUCAUCUACCUCGACAGCUUCCGCCAUCGCUUUGACUGAGCAGGAUAUUCUGAGACUUAAGCGUCUGCUCGCUGCUUCAGGUUCUUCCUCGACGGGUACUGCUGGUUCUGUGACUGAGGCUCCCCGCACUGAGCAACCACCUUACACAGUCAGGUACAUCCCCAUGGGUUCUAGACUCUGGAGCUUCCUUUCAUAUGACUUCUAAUUCUUCCACUCUGUCCUCUCUUCGAUCGCUUGAUUCUCCUGUUCAUGUCCUCAUCGCUGAUGGUACUCCCCUUCCUGUCGUUAGUACAGGCACUACUACCACUCAUUUUGUUCCUGAUGUUGCUCAUGUUCCUCGACUUACCAUGAAUCUGUUUUCCGCUGGUCAACUUGCUGAUUCUGGUUGUCGUGUCGUCCUUGACCUUGACUCUUGUUCUGUCCAGGACCGUCGCACGCACACUCUGGUUGGGGCUGGUCCUCGCCGCCGUGAUUCUGAGGGUCUUUGGGAGUUGGACUGGCUUCAUGUUCCUUCCGCUGCCCACUCUGCCGCCAGUUCUUCUGCUUUGGUCGCCUCGGCUACUGGUUCCUUCCAGCAGUGGCAUCAUCGACUUGGUCAUCUGUGUGGUUCUCGUUUGUCGUCGUUAGUUCGUCGAGGUCUUCUGGGGUCUGUCUCAGGAGAUGCCUCUUUAGAGUGUCAGGGUUGUCGUCUUGACAAGCAGAUUCAGUUACCAUAUCCACAUAGUGAGUCAGUGUCUAAGCGUCCUUUUGAUUUAGUUCAUUCCGAUGUAUGGGGUCCGGCUCCCUUCGCUUCGAAAGGGGGUCAUAAGUACUAUAUUAUUUUCAUAGAUGACUUCUCUCGUUACACAUGGCUUUAUUUCAUGACUUCUCAUAGUGAGGUGUUGUCCAUUUAUAAGCGUUUUGUUGUCAUGGUUCAUACUCGGUUCUCUUCUCCCAUUCGUGUGUUCCGUGCUGAGUCCGCUGGCGAGUAUAUCUCUAAGAUGUUGCGUGGUGUUCUUGCUGAGCAAGGGACUCUCUCUCAAUUCUCUUGUCCUAGUGCUCACGCUCAGAAUGGCGUGGCUGAGCGCAAGCAUCGUCAUCUUCUUGAGACGGCUCGUGCAUUGAUGAUUGCUGCCUCUCGCCCGCCUCAUUUUUGGGCUGAGGCCGUCUCCACCUCCACCUAUCUCAUCAAUUUCCAGCCUUCUGCUGCUCUACAGGGUGGUGUUCCUUUCGAGCGUCUUUUUGAUCGUUCUCCCGAUUAUUCGAUGCUUCGCUUGUUUGGUUGCGUUUGCUAUGUUCUUCUUGCCCCCCGCGAACGCACCAAACUGACCGCUCAGUCUGUUGAGUGUGUCUUCUUAGGCUAUAGUGAUGGGCAUAAGGGCUAUCGUUGUUGGGAUCCUAUCGAUCGUCGGAUGCGUAUCUCUCGGGAUGUGACUUUUGAUGAGUCUCGUCCCUUCUACCCACGCCCAUCUUCCUCGACUUCUCCAGUGGAGGAUAUCUCUUUCCUCACUUUUCCUGACACACCUAUCACACCCGUCGAGCCUUUGCCUAUUCGUUUUGAUCCCUCUGCUUCUCCACCUCCAGUCGAUUUGUCGCCACCAUCUUCCACGGUCUCCUCGUCUAGCAUGUCACCGGAUUCUACACCUUCAUCUCCGGUGACUUCUUCGUCGCCACUCCCCGAUUCUAUCUUGGCGAUUCCUCCUUCCAUUGUUCCAUCUUUUCCUCAGUGUUACACUCGUCGUUCACGUUCUGUGGAUGCCUCUGUGGAUGUGUCGUCAUCCUCUUCUCAGCCUACUUAUGGCUUGCGUUCUCGUCCUCGUCCGCCUGUUGAUCGCUUUGGAUUUUCCACCGUUGGUGCUGCUGUUCUUGAGCCGACUACUCAUCAUCAGGCUGUUGUUCAUCCUGAAUGGCAGUUUGCGAUGGCAGAGGAGAUUGCUGCUCUUGAACGCACUGGUAUGUGGGAUCUUGUUUCCCUUCCUCCCGGAGUCCGUCCCAUCACUUGUAAGUGGGUCUACAAGGUUAAGACUCGCUCCGAUGGUUCUCUUGAGCGUCACAAAGCUCGUCUUGUGGCUCGUGNNNNNNNNNNNNNNNNNNNNNNNNNNNNNNNNNNNNNNNNNNNNNNNNNNNNNNNNNNNNNNNNNNNNNNNNNNNNNNNNNNNNNNNNNNNNNNNNNNNNNNNNNNNNNNNNNNNNNNNNNNNNNNNNNNNNNNNNNNCAGCAGGAGCAUGGUCGUGAUUAAGACGAGACUUUUGCUCCUGUGGCUCAUAUGACCAUUGUUCGUACACUUCUUGCCGUGGCCUCUACACGCCACUGGUCUAUCUCUCAGCUUGAUGUUAAGAAUGCUUUUCUUAAUGGUGAGCUGCGUGAGGAGGUGUACAUGCAGCCACCACCUGGGUAUUCUGUUCUUGAUGGCAUGGUAUGUCGUCUUCGUCGCUCUCUCUAUGGCCUUAAGCAAGCCCACGCGCUUGGUUUGAGCGUUUUGCCUCUGUGGUGACUGCCGCUGGUUUUUCACCCAGUGUUCAUGAUCCAGCAUUGUUUAUUCACCUUUCUCCUCGUGGUCGGACUCUUCUUCUUCUCUAUGUUGAUGACAUGGUCAUCACUGGGGAUGACCCCGAGUAUAUUGCCUUUGUCAAGGCCCAUCUUAGUGAGCAGUUCCUUAUAUCUGAUCUUGGACCUCUUCGAUACUUUAUUGGGAUUGAAGUCUCUUCUACCUCUAAUGGCUUCUUUAUAUCCCAGGAAAAGUAUAUCCAGGAUCUUCUUGCUCGUGCUGCUCUUACUGAUGAGCGCAUUGUUGAGACUCCUAUGGAGCUCAAUGAUCACCUCUCUGCUACUGAUGGUGAUCCCCUGCCUGACCCGACGCGUUAUCGUCAUCUUGUUGGCAGUCUUGUUUAUCUAGCUGUCGCUCGUCCGAAUAUCUCUUAUCCGGUUCAUAUUCUGAGUCAGUUCGUCUCUGCUCCCACAUCGGUCCACUAUAGCCAUCUCCUCCGUGUUCUCCGAUAUCUUCGGGGCACGAUAUCUCACCGUCUAUUCUUUCCUCGCUCCAGUUCUUUACAGCUUCAGGCCUAUUCGGAUGCUACGCGGGCUAGUGAUCCUUCAGAUCGUCGUUCACUUUCUGCUUACUGUGUUUUUCUUGGUGGUUCUCUCAUUGCCUGGAAGACGAAGAAACAGGUUGCAGUUUCCCGUUCGAGUGCAGAGGCUGAGUUGCGAGCGAUGGCUCUUUUGACGGCAGAGGUGACUUGGUUACGGUGGUUACUUCAGGAUUUUGGUGUUUCUGUCACUACACCGACUCUGCUCUUAUCUGACAGUACAGGUGCUAUUAGCAUUGCGCGCGAUCCUGUGAAGCAUGAGCUCACCAAGCAUAUUGGUGUUGAUGCUUUCUAUGUGCGCGCUGCUGUGCAGGAUCAGGUUGUUGCUCUUCAAUAUGUGCCUUCCGAGUUACAGUUGGCGGAUUUCCUGACGAAGGCCCAGACUAGAGCACAACAUGGCUUUUAUCUCUCCAAACUCAGUGUGGUUCAUCCACCAUGAGUUUGAGGGGGGUGUUAGAGUUAUAAUAUAAGUCAUGUACCCUUUUGUAUUUAUCCAAAUAUAUAAGGGGUUUCCUGCAUAUAGUCCAUCACCUGUACAUGUAUAUAUACCGGCCUAUGGCCUCAUGGGAAUACAAGUUGCUUAUUCCUAACANNNNNNNNNNNNNNNNNNNNNNNNNNNNNNNNNNNNNNNNNNNNNNNNNNNNNNNNNNNNNNNNNNNNNNNNNNNNNNNNNNNNNNNNNNNNNNNNNNNNNNNNNNNNNNNNNNNNNNNNNNUUGCUUAUUCCUAACAGUCGGGAUCAUCAGUCUUACUCAUGUCAGCUCUUGGCAGCAGUUUGCAAAUUGUUUGACAAAGGGGUUGGGAACAAAGGAUUGUAACUUGGCAUGUGACAAGAUGGGAAUGAUAGAUAUCUACCACCCAUCUUGAGGGGGAGUGUUGAACCAGUAUGGGCCCAGCCCAUCCACUUAUCUCUUAGGGCCCAAGCCCAUGUAAAGGGACUGACCUAGAAGGAGGCUCCAAGCCAUCCCGUUCUCAGUCUGAGCCGCCACACACACGAGACAGGAAAACUCAUGGGAGCUACCAGACUAGAGGCCUUGUCCCUUGUGGAGGUACUCCUCUCUCCCCCUCCCGAUUCUACAAUUUCAAUACACUUCAUUUGUCUGUUGUUCACAUUUAUUACAUAAUUUUUAGAGGCAUUCCAUAAUUAUUUCUGUAUACUGAUUAUAUUAGCUCGCAAAUCGAUUAACACAUGCAUGCACUCCGACCAUAUGAAUUUCCAGUUCGGACACUAAAUAGCCAACUAUGUACAUUACUACAUUGGACCUGCUAUAUGUUGUUGUACAACCUCCAUAUCUUUUGGAAUGCAUUAAUUGCGAUCUAACUCCAGUAUCUAGCACAUGAAUGCUGGAAGCACAGCCCUACGUUGUGCAGAUAUCUCAGAAAACACGUGUACCCGGCCAGAUACUGCCCCUAUACAGCCCGACACAUAUCCUGUGAGUAUCCUUUGAUUUAUUGAUUUUUUUAAAGAAACUAAUGUUUGAUACACGUGGGAUACUGCUGCGAUACGUUUUGGAGAUGGAAAACCCUUCGUUCAACGUGAAAACCCCUCGUGGAGAUGCUGCACGUCCCCAUAACUCCUCAACUGGCUGAGUCUUCUCAUAUCCCCACUGCACACGUUCUGUCCUUCUGAAUUCCAAUAGUUGAUAGCCGGCUCACCGGUGGCAGGAGACUUCCAUGUCUCCCCUGUGGGAGGUAUGACAGCCUGUAGACCUGCUAUGCUGGCCUUAACCCAUGACCUAGUAUCAGAUUUUAUUGUUCGGUCAACUAACAGGUUCCGCCUAAUGAAUGUUCGGUCAACUAACAGGUUCCGCCUAAUGAAUGGUAUAUUCAACAAAAUUAGAAUCAAGUUACUUUUUAUGAGUUUUCUCAUACGAACUUAUUUGGUAUUUUGGUUAGGUUGUUCCAUUUAGGACAAUGAAAUGCCCAACUGUACUCGGUUCUUAUUGUAGAUCAAUUGUUCGUGUACAUAAUACUUUAUUAUUGAAGGAAGCACUGCUUAUUGUGAUAAAUUCCAUUUGUGUUAAACACAAGUUAUUCCUGUGUAAAUUUGCAUCCAGCUUAGGCACAUUAUUACAUAUAUAUGUGUUAACUGAAAAAAUAAGUUGUGUAGAACCCGUUGAGGCUACAAAAUAAAAGAAAAUACACAUUAUCUGAUGGAAGUCUUUACCUAUGUUGAUGGGAGAUCAGACUUUUACUACCCCACCGCAACAAAUCAUAUAGUACAGCAAUAUUGCACGGUAUACUAGCCCAUUUGUUGUAUAGAAUUCGAGAUAUGUGCAAUGCCAUUGGGCUAAUCUAGAACCACCACAACCAAUACAUAUCAGAGUUAAUGACAAUCCACGCCACUGGGCUCGCCGAAUACCAUAAGAUUGCAUAUGGUUACCAAAAUAUAACAAUAGGUCGCGAAGCGGAAUUCACCAACCUCGCAGAAAAUGAAAUCCACCGAACAGGUGAGGAAUUUAAACUUGUGGGAUGGAGACGAACCUGGGCAUAAACCUCCUCGUCCUCGAGCAGGAACUCCUCCAUGCCCUGCGAAGACCUCCGCGACCUCGG